rnacentral:misc_RNA from 1 species
GUCGAGAGCGUAUACACUUGGCACUAGCUGAAGAGAUAAGCGGAUUCAAACAAAAUCAAAAUAAUGGAAGCAAUGGAGAAAACUGGCAGCAGGAUUGGGAGAGAACCUUUUACAAUUGUUUUCUUAGGGUUGAUGAUGAAAUAGAAGGAAAAGUUGGUAGAACAGUCCGUGGGAGUGGUGGAGAUGUUUCCGAUACAAGCUUCGAGCCUGUUGCCCCGGAAACUGUUGGCUCUACGGCUGUUGUUGCAUUGGUAUGUUCAUCACACAUCAUAGUUGCAAACUGUGGUGAU